AGCUUUGCGCAGUGGCAGUAUCGUAGCCAAUGAGGUUGAUCCGAGGCGCGAUUAUUGCUAAUUGAAAACUUUUCCUAAUUACCAACUUCUCAAGAUGAAGAAACUGAAACAUAGAGAACUUGAGUCACUCAUCCACUACCAGCUUUUGAAACCAAGUAUGCUCG
rnacentral:snRNA from 1 species